GAAACGCGAUAGUUAAUGUGAAUUGCAGAAUUCAGUGAAUCAUCGAGUCUUUGAACGCACAUUGCGCCCAUAGGUAUUCCUUUGGGCAUGUCUGUUUGAGCGUCAUUACAACCCUCAGCUAACCGCUGGUUUUGAACCUGAACGGGUGAUACCGCGCCGGUUUUAAAGUUGUAAGCUCUGCUGGCCGCUCUGCCCAACCAGAACAUAGUAAGCACUACUUGUCCGGGUGAAGCUGAACGGUACGGCCUGAACAAAACCUACCCACUCUCAAGGUUUGACCUCAGAUCAGACAAGGAUACCCGCUGAACUUAAGC
rnacentral:misc_RNA from 1 species